GGACUCUGCGAGGCAGCUCGAUUGGACAACAAGACCCUGACCCAAGUAUUAGAAGAGGUGGACUCUGGGCCUGGCCCUGUUCCUAGUUAGCUGAGUGGAAAAGAAUAAGAAUGAUGUGAAAUGUACAUUCACUCAGCAGAGGGGAAUAUGGAAAAGCCACUUCAGAAAGUUCAUACAAAAAUGGAAUUAAGAGGGUAUGUAAAGAGGAUGCAGAUUUGACCAAGCAUUUCAACACAAAACACGGAACUGGAGGAGGAAAG